UACGGAGGGUGCAAGCAUUAAUCGGAUUUACUGGGCGUAAAGGGCGCGUAGGCGGCAUGCCAAGUCAGAUGUGAAAUUCCGGAGCUCAACUUCGGAGCUGCAUCUGAAACUGGUUAGCUAGAGGGUAGACGGAGAAAAUGGAAUUCCACAUGUAGCGGUGAAAUGCGUAGAUAUGUGGAGGAACACCGGUGGCGAAAGCGGUUUUCUAGUUUAUACCUGACGCUGAGGCGCGAAAGCAAGGGGAGCAAAC
rnacentral:rRNA from 1 species